AUUAGACUCAAGGUCUGAGCGGCUGCCAAGGGGAGCGAGCUCCAACGCAGGAGCACUCAUCUGAGAAAUCCCCACUGCUGGAUGUGGAGGGGUCGAACCUUGGCUCUGGCUGCAGGCGCCUCCCAGCUGAUCUCAGCUGCCAUGGCUGGACAUGGGGUGGGAAAUCUUAGCUACAAUAACUAUCCAAGAAAGCUUUUUGACGCAAAUAAUCAUCAGAGGAAACAAAUGCCCUUGUGGUUUCUACAGGAUUUUGUAAUAGGAGUCGUCUGGACGGCCAAGGAACAGCUGACUACCUCACCGCCCAGCCGAUGGCACAGUGCAGGCACGUCAUCUGUGAGGGGACUUCGCAGCCACUGCUCCUGCGGACAGCACCAGAAGCUCUCCGUGUGAAUAUGCAGUGGUUUUGCUGCUGCCUGCUUUCUCUCUGGCUUAAGGAGGAAGCCUGAGCCUUGGGCUGAGGCUCUUCCAGAGCCAGCUCAUGCCCCUUGGAUUUCUUGUCCUUGCAUUGCCUCUGAGGCAGGAUGGAGAGCAGAAAGCUGCUUACAUUCAGACUGCAUUUCAAAUUUCUUCAAAACGACUUUUUCAAGAAAGGCACGUUUUCAGGGCCAGCACCGUGAGGCUGGCUCAGCCUCCAGACACACUUUCCAAAUCUUGCUGCCCAGAAUAGCAUGCUCUAAAAACACACUGCAGCCCCCCUGCUGUAGCUGGCCCAGCCUUUCACCGUGUCUGUACAACGAGGCUUUCCUUUCAGCUCAGAUGGCAGUGGUCUCAUGCAGAUGGCUGCAGAAGACCCCUUCACAAGGGCAGUUCUCCUUCCAGGCUUGGUUGGCUUGGCCUCAUCUGAACUGUGUGAGGCGAGGAGCUUUGAGGCCCCUUGCUCCGAUUUUACAGUACCCCCGUUUGCCUCCUGUUUCAAUCUGUCUCUGAUCAAUAGCUCUAGCUGGUGUAGAUAGCUUUUCAUGGGUACAUUUUAUUGCUCAUGGAUGAUGCCAGACUGACCAAUGUGGGCAUAUGAAGUAAUCUGGGCAGUGGCUAAACGAGUUCCCCAUGGCUUUCCCAGCAUGGCUGUCGUGGAGCAACCCCCUCUGUGGGUUAUUUCAGUGCUCUGUCCAGCUUUGACCCAUCAGCCGGGACUGAAAAAUCUGUUCCCGCUGCCACAGUACUUAACACUGCUUUUACUGUUUUCAGACAACGCUUUGGAAACCCUCUCAUUGAUUUGAAUGGGCUUGGGAUCCAGCCUGGUGUUCUUGCACAUUGCAGAGUUCAGCUGAUUUUUCUUGCUUGCUUUUUCUUACACACCUCCAGGAUCUGCCCUGUGCCAUGGAGCAUCCCGUGGGGCGUUCAGAGGGUGCAGCUCUGGGCAUCGCCAUGUUGCCAGCACUGCGACGGGGGAGGGUAACUAAUAAGGAAGUGAGCAAACCUUGCCUGAAGUUUUUCUUCUUGCUGCCUCUGUGUCCCACCCCCAGGCUCCCCAUGGCAGGUGUUGCAGAGGCGAAAGUCAGCGCCCCUGCAGAGCAAGACGAGAAGCACCCAAAGUCACCUCUUCCUCUGCGUGCAACCCAGAACCCAGAACUCCCACAUCUCGCCCGGCUUGCAGCCCAGCUGUCUGAAGCCACAGGCAGCAGGGGUGGAUAGCAGCCGGCUGCUCGUUGCGCUGCAGCCUGGGCGAUGGGGGAGAUAGUGGGGAGGAUCUCUUGGUGCAAGUAUGAGCAUGAAUCCACUGAAGAAAUAUUAACUCUAGCUGCGAAAGAAGAGGAAUAUCAAGCAAGGAAGCAAACACACACACAAGACUCAGACUCAUGCAGUGCUGGAGGGUUUGGUUGUGUCUGAGUUUUUUCUCGGCAUUCAGUCCUCCCAACACGACUCCACCACUGGAGCAACAGCUGGGCUGCUGAGGAGCAACGCGGCGCUGCCAGCUCGAGCCGUGCAGGGCGAUAGGUGGGGAUUUCCUUGAAGCCCUUGUGUCUCCCUGCCAGAGUGCUGAGAUCACCUGGGAAUCUUGGCUUUCGAUGUAAGAAAAAGAGAAAGAAGCUAAUUAAAAAAAAAAAAAAAAAAAGAGAGAGAGAGAGACUCAAGCACUCAUGAGUGUACAGAGAAAUUUUAAAAUGGGAAAUGCGUGUGACCUAUAGCCAAAUAAUAACUGAAAGCGUGUUACAGAUAACAUCCUGGUCUUCAACUUGAAAGCUAAAUAGCAAAUGCUUUUGGAACUCUUUAAAACCUUGCUUGACGCUAUCAGUGUUGAGGAAUGUGAACUGGUGUAUUGGUUAAACUGCUCGGGAACGGCCUGAAUGCAGCAGCUGAAACAGCAGCAGUAGCAUUCAAGUUGCCCUUUGGCACUCGAGGCUGCACAGGGCACGUGCUUCAGCUCCCCAUUGCCCAGGUGAGCGGAGGCCAGGCUGUGUUGGCCUGUGUUUGCUCUCAGCUCUGCCCCUGGAUGGCAGCAUUUCUACUGGUGCAGCAAGGAAAAACUGCUCUGGGAAAAAAAA